GCCCAGGUGGCGGAAUGGUAGACGCGCUCGUUUCAGGUGCGAGUGAGUAACAUCGUGCAAGUUCGAGUCUUGUUCUGGGCA
rnacentral:tRNA from 2 species